rnacentral:rRNA from 2 species
UGGAUCCAGACUUUGAUUAUGGCUCAGGAUGAACGCCAGCUACAGGCUUAACACAUGCAAGUCGAGGGGCAGCGGGAUUGAAGCUUGCUUCAAUUGCCGGCGACCGGCGCACGGGUGAGUAACGCGUAUCCAACCUUCCGUACACUCAGGGAUGGCCUUUCGAAAGAAAGAUUAAUACCUGAUGGUAUGAUGAGAUUGCAUGAUAGCAUCAUUAAAGAUUUAUCGGUGUACGAUGGGGAUGCGUUCCAUUAGGUAGUAGGCGGGGUAACGGCCCACCUAGCCAACGAUGGAUAGGGGUUCUGAGAGGAAGGUCCCCCACAUUGGAACUGAGACACGGUCCAAACUCCUACGGGAGGCAGCAGUGAGGAAUAUUGGUCAAUGGACGAAAGUCUGAACCAGCCAAGUAGCGUGAAGGAUGAAGGUCCUACGGAUUGUAAACUUCUUUUAUAAGGGAAUAAACCCCCCCACGUGUGGGAGCUUGUAUGUACCUUAUGAAUAAGCAUCGGCUAACUCCGUGCCAGCAGCCGCGGUAAUACGGAGGAUGCGAGCGUUAUCCGGAUUUAUUGGGUUUAAAGGGAGCGCAGACGGGUCGUUAAGUCAGCUGUGAAAGUUUGGGGCUCAACCUUAAAAUUGCAGUUGAUACUGGCGUCCUUGAGUGCGGUUGAGGUGUGCGGAAUUCGUGGUGUAGCGGUGAAAUGCUUAGAUAUCACGAAGAACUCCGAUUGCGAAGGCAGCACACUAAUCCGUAACUGACGUUCAUGCUCGAAAGUGUGGGUAUCAAACAGGAUUAGAUACCCUGGUAGUCCACACGGUAAACGAUGGAUACUCGCUGUUGGCGAUAUACUGUCAGCGGCUUAGCGAAAGCGUUAAGUAUCCCACCUGGGGAGUACGCCGGCAACGGUGCAACUCAAAUGAAUUGACGGA